rfam:Candidatus Melainabacteria bacterium RIFCSPLOWO2_12_FTLL_35_11 rifcsplowo2_12_scaffold_609, whole genome shotgun sequence.
GCCGAAGUAGCUCAGUGGUAGAGCAACGGUUUUGUAAACCGUGGGUCGUCAGUUCAAAUCUGAUCUUCGGCU